UACGGAGGGAGCAAGCGUUACUCGGAAUUAUUGGGCGUAAAGGGCGCGUAGGCGAUUUGAAAAGUCUUGUGUGAAAGCCCCGAGCUUAACUCGGGAAGUGCACAAGAAACUGUUGAAUUUGAGUUCCGGAGAGGAAGGCAGAAUUCCCGGUGUAGCGGUGAAAUGCGUAGAUAUCGGGAGGAAUACCAGUGGCGAAGGCGGCCUUCUGGACGGAUACUGACGCUGAGGCGCGAAAGCGUGGGGAGCGAACAGG
rnacentral:rRNA from 1 species